rnacentral:ncRNA from 1 species
CUUAUCAAGAGAGGUGGAGGGACCGGCCCUGUGAAGCCCGACAACCUGCAGUUACUGCAAGGUGCCAAUUCCGGCGAAGCGAAUCGAAAGAUGAGG